UACGUAGGGUGCAAGCGUUAAUCGGAAUUACUGGGCGUAAAGCGUGCGCAGGCGGUUUUGUAAGUCUGACGUGAAAUCCCCGGGCUCAACCUGGGAAUUGCGUUGGAGACUGCAAGGCUUGAAUCUGGCAGAGGGGGGUAGAAUUCCACGUGUAGCAGUGAAAUGCGUAGAGAUGUGGAGGAACACCGAUGGCGAAGGCAGCCCCCUGGGUCAAGAUUGACGCUCAUGCACGAAAGCGUGGGGAUCAAACAGG
rnacentral:rRNA from 1 species